AACGAACGCUGGCGGCAGGCUUAACACAUGCAAGUCGAGCGCCCCGCAAGGGGAGCGGCAGACGGGUGAGUAACGCGUGGGAAUCUACCCAGCUCUACGGAAUAACCCAGGGAAACUUGGACUAAUACCGUAUGCGUCCUUCGGGAGAAAGAUUUAUCGGAGUUGGAUGAGCCCGCGUCUGAUUAGCUAGUUGGUGGGGUAAUGGCCUACCAAGGCGACGAUCAGUAGCUGGUCUGAGAGGAUGAUCAGCCACACUGGGACUGAGACACGGCCCAGACUCCUACGGGAGGCAGCAGUGGGGAAUAUUGGACAAUGGGCGCAAGCCUGAUCCAGCCAUGCCGCGUGAGUGAUGAAGGCCCUAGGGUUGUAAAGCUCUUUCACCGGUGAAGAUA
rnacentral:rRNA from 1 species